rnacentral:rRNA from 2 species
CUUGGUCAUUUAGAGGAAGUAAAAGUCGUAACAAGGUUUCCGUAGGUGAACCUGCGGAAGGAUCAUUAAAGAGACGUUGCCCUUCGGGGUAUACCUCCCACCCUUUGUUUAUUAUACCUUUGUUGCUUUGGCGGGCCCGUCCUCGGACCACCGGCUUCGGCUGGUCAGUGCCCGCCAGAGGACCUAAAACUCUGUUUGUUCAUAUUGUCUGAGUACUAUAUAAUAGUUAAAACUUUCAACAACGGAUCUCUUGGUUCUGGCAUCGAUGAAGAACGCAGCGAAAUGCGAUAAGUAAUGUGAAUUGCAGAAUUCAGUGAAUCAUCGAAUCUUUGAACGCACAUUGCGCCCCCUGGUAUUCCGGGGGGCAUGCCUGUUCGAGCGUCAUUACAACCCUCAAGCUCUGCUUGGUAUUGGGCUCUGCCGGUCCCGGCAGGCCUUAAAAUCAGUGGCGGUGCCAUUCGGCUUCAAGCGUAGUAAUUCUUCUCGCUUUGGAGACCCGGGUGCGUGCUUGCCAGCAACCCCCAAUUUUUUCAGGUUGACCUCGGAUCAGGUAGGGAUACCCGCUGAACUUAAGCAUAUCAAUAAGCGGAGGA